rnacentral:rRNA from 1 species
CAAGGGCAAAUGGUGGAUGCCUUGACACUAAAAGGCGAUGAAGGACGUAGCAAUCUGCGAUAAGCUUCGGGGAGGUGAUAAGCAACCUUUGAUCCGUAGAUUUCCGAAUGGGGAAACCCGGCGCGGUAAACCCGCGUCACUCAUAUCUGAAUACAUAGGGUAUGAGAGGCAACCCGGCGAAGUGAAACAUCUCAGUAGCCGGAGGAAAAGAAAAAAUUGUUUCCUUAGAUCUUUGUUCCGAUUUAUCGGAGUAGAGAUCUAUGGAUUGUAUUCCGUCAGUAGUGGCGAGCGAAAGCGGAGCAGCCCAAACCAUAACAUGUGUUGUUUUGAUGAAAACCGGCCUUCGGGUCGGUCGUAGUCGGAGCAUAAAGGAGUGCCCGUUGCUGUUAUGGGGUGCAGAUUAUAACAUUCGGCUUGCACUGUGGCCGAGCAGAAUAAAAUCUUUAGUGGAGCGGUUUUGGAAUAGCCGACCAAAGAGGGUGAAAGUCCCGUACGCGAAAAGGAUCGUACUUCUGUAGUUUUAAUCUAAAGUACCACAGGACUCGAGAAAUCUUGUGGGAAUCUGCCGUGACUAUACGGUAAGGCUAAAUACUUUUAGUGAUCGAUAGUGAACCAGUACCGUGAGGGAAAGGUGAAAAGCAGCCCGGUGAGGGCGAUGAAAUAGUAUCUGAAACCAUUUGCUUACAAACGAGUUGGAGUCCAAGGUCGCAGCAAUGCGAAUUCUGGAUGACAGCGUUCCUAUUGAAGAAUGAGCCAACGAGUUUAUUCUACGUUGCCAGUUUAACCUCUCCGGAGGGAAGGCACAGUGAAAGCGAGGAUUAAUAGUCCGACCAAUCGCAGCGUGGAUAAGACCCGAAACGAGGUGAUCUAUUCAUGACCAGGGUGAACCAAAUGUAACAGUUUGGGAAGGCCCGAACUCACAUGCCGUGCAACACAUGGAGAUGAGUUGUGAAUAGCGGAGAAAUUCCAAUCGAACUUCGUGAUAGCUGGUUCUCCUCGAAAUAGCUUUAGGGCUAGCUUCAAGAUAGGACUCAGGGGUAGAGCACUGAAUGAGAACGGGCCCGCAAGGGUACCUUUUUCAAUCAAACUCCGAAUACUGAGUAUCCGUUUCUUGGAAGUCAGACUAUGGGCGCUAAGGUCCAUCAGUCAAAAGGGAAACAGCCCAGACCGCCGGUUAAGGCCCCAAAAUCUAUGUUAAGUGUGAAAAGUGGUAUCAAGACUGCGACAACCAGGAGGUUGGCUUGGAAGCAGCCAUCCUUUAAAGAAAGCGUAAUAGCUCACUGGUCAAGUUUUCUUGCGCUGAAAAUGUAUCGGGGCUAAACAUAGUGCCGAAACUGCGGAUUCUAUAUUUAUAUAGAGUGGUAGAGGAGUGUUUUUAACGGGAUGAAGCCGUAGCCGUGAGGCGCGGUGGACUGUUAGGAAGUAAGAAUGUUGGCAUAAGUAGCAAGAAUCCGGAUGAGAAUUCCGGACACCGUAAAUCCGAGGUUUCCUGGGCAACGAGAAUCGACCCAGGGUUAGUCGGUCCUAAGGCGAGGCUGAAAGGCGUAGUCGAUGGACAAGCAGGUUAAUAUUCCUGCACUACCUUAAUUUUCCAAUGGAGUGACGCAUUCCUAGAGAUCGAUCGUCCUAUGGCUAUGGCGAUGACGUUAGUAGGCGUGACUGGUAGGCAAAUCCGCCAGUCAUUAAGCGCCGAAUUCGGCAAGAGGUGAUGCCGCAAGGCGGAUCCGAUUCGAUUAACGGGGGUGCCAAGAAAACCUUCUAGGGCUAAGGUUAAGGUAACCGUACUUAAACCGACACAGGUGGAUGAGGCGAGUAGCCUCAGGUGUACGAGAGAAACUUCGCUAAGGAACUCGGCAAAAAAGCGGCCGUAACUUAGGGAUAAGGCCUGCCCGCUUUAUGCGGGCCGCAGCUAAAGAUAUCAAGCGACUGUUUAUCAAAAACUUAGGUCCCUGCUAAACCGUAAGGUGAUGUAUAGGGGCUGAUGCCUGGCCAGUGUCUGAACGUUAAGGGGAGAGGUCAACCGGUUUCCGGGGCAGCUUUGAACUGAAGCGCAGAUGAACGCCGGCGAUAACUAUAAUCGUCCUAAGGUAGCGAAAUUCCUUGACGGGUAAGUUCCGUCCCGCACGAAUGGCAUAACGACUUGAUAACUGUCUCAGCGAAGUACUCGGCGAAAUUGCAAGGGAGGUGAAGAUGCCUCCUACCCGUGGUUAGACGAAAAGACCCCAUGAAGCUUUACUACAACUUAGUAUUGAAUUGUGGCCUAGCAUGUUUAGAAUAGGUGGGAGCCCUCGGGCAUCAGUGAAAUACCACCCUUGCUAUGUUAUAAUUCUAACCUACUCCCGUGAAUCCGGGAGAGGGACAGUAUUUGGUGGGUAGUUUAACUGGGGCGGUUGCCUCCCAAAAUGUAACGGAGGCGUUUACAAAGGUUGGCUAGCUCCGGAUGGAAAUCGGAGUGAUAGUGUAAAGGCACAAGCCAGCUUUACUGCGAGGCCUGCAAGCCAAGCAGUCGCGAAAGCGGAACUUAGUGAUCCGACCGUACGAAGUAGGACGGCGGAAGCUCAACGGAUAAAAGCUACUCUGGGGAUAACAGGCUAGUCUGGUCCAAGAGUCCACAUCGACGACCAGGUUCGGCACCUCGAUGUCGGCUCGUCACAUCCUGGGGGUGGAGAAGCUCCCAAGGGUUCGGCUGUUCGCCGAUUAAAGUGGCACGCGAGCUGGGUUCAGAACGUCGUGAGACAGUUCGGUCUCCUAUCUACCAUGGGCGCAGAAAUUUGAGAAGGCCAUUUCCUAGUACGAGAGGACCGGAAAUGACGAACCUCUAGUGUGUCAGCUGUCCUGCCAAGGGCACCGCUGGGUAGCUACGUUCGGUUAAGAUAAACGCUGAAAGCAUCUAAGCGUGAAGCUGUCUUCAAGAUAAGAUUUCAAAAUCCCCUUCGAGACGAGGAGGUUGAUAGGCUGCAGGUGUAAGCGUAGCAAUACGUUCAGCCGAGCAGUACUAAUGGAUU